UAUUUUAUUAUCUAUAUAAUAUUGUCAGUUUAUUUUAUCAACACAACACUUUUAUCAAGUUACUACCGUUUAAACACCUGCAGAGGUUUUAAACGCACCACAGGCUUAGCACCAGGGUCAGCUCCAUGGAUGUGCAGCAUUUGCAGUCACGCGAGACCCACACUGAGAGGGACGCCAUGUUUGAUGCUCUGCUAUCGCCAUCUUGAAAUUCUUAGUAACCUUGAACAAGGGGACUUGCAUUUUUAUUUUGUACUGGGCUUCCCUAAUUAGGUAGCCAGGCCUUCUUAGCACUGAGGGCUUCCUGGAUUCACCCCAUCUGAAGCAAGAUAUAAUUUGAAACUCAACUGGCAUAUCAGAAGAAACCAAGAGUCCAAGGUUAGUCUAGAAAGAUCUGGAUCUGUCAAUACUCAUAGAUGGAUUGUUACCAGAUGGCAAAAGUUCACCAGAAGAAAAUGUAAGCUACUCCCAGGAUAAAGGCAGUUGAGUGUGGUGGCAAGGUAAUGUGCUAAAUCAAAGUGGUAAUCUAAUUCUGAAGAAGUUAUCAACAGUGAACACAGGAAGAUGAUGCCAAAGAGUUAAGUAUACAGACAGAUUCCUCACCAGCUUUGAGGACUAUCUCUAGUACAUGUUGAGUGUGACAAUUGAUAUUCUUCGGUACAGAAGAAGCCGUUGCCAUCUGUCGUGUGACUGCUCUGAGGAUAAUGAGAACCCUCGGACAUGUGGGUUGGAAAGAAAUGACUUCAUUCCAAGGAAAAUAAAUCUAAAUAAUACAAAUGUGGUGGGAGUGUUGCUAAAUAUUUCUGGAGAUCUUGAGGUGCUUGGGGAGAAAAUGAAUCAUGUUAGUAAUAAUUUUUGCUUCUCUUUCUCCUAACUGUGCCAAUUUAAAAAUAUCAUUCAGGCAGGACCUGUGUUUUAAACUCUACCUGUACUUCCAGGAGGGUGUCCUCAGGGCUUCGCCUGCAGGAAGGUCACCGGGAGUCAAUGCAAAUCAGGCCUGUGGCCUCCCAGCGGCAGGCUACCUCAAGGACCCUCGAGGCACAGGCAGAUUUUAGAACAGCAGAAAUACUACCGGUGUGUUGAAACAAAACAAAAUAAGAUUGUUUAUUAUCCUGUUUAAAAGGAGGGCAAGAGUUUUCUCUAAGUCUUUAACCCCCUGCUCCUGCCCAACAAAUGCAGUCCCUGAACCAGCAGGCUGUGUCUACUGGGGCUUCACUGCAGGGAGCUGUAAGGGGUUGAGUUAACGGGAAGGCAGUCUUCACUCUGAAGUUCUCCCUUCUGUCAGACCUUUUAAUGUAAUCUUAACAUCCAUUCUGUUUAAUAAUCUUUUGUCCAAUAGACAUAAAUAAAGCAUAAAUAUGUAUCUGACUGCA
rnacentral:lncRNA from 1 species